UACGAGUGCCCCAAGCGUUAUCCGGAAUCAUUGGGCGUAAAGGGUGUGUAGGUGGUUGUGUUAGUCUUUUGUUAAAUUCUUCGGCUUAACCGGGGGCAUGCAAGGGAAACGGCACAACUAGAGGAUGCGAGAGGUAUAUGGAACUCAUGGAGUAGGGGUGAAAUCCGUUGAUAUCAUGGGGAACACCAAAUGCGAAGGCAGUAUACUGGCGCACUCCUGACACUGAAACACGAAAGCGUAGGUAGCGAAUGGG
rnacentral:rRNA from 1 species